UCUCAGCCUGUUUAUUCUUUGUGUAGAGAAAGGCCAUUGACUUGUGUGAGUUAAUUUUAUAUCCAGCUACUUCAUUGAAGCUGUUUAUCAGUUUUAGGAGUUCUCUGGUGGAAUUUUUAGGGUCACUUAUAUAUACUAUCAUAUCAUCUGCAAAUAGUGAUAUUUUGUGGUUUUGUUUGUUGGUUUGUUUUGAGUCAGGAUCUCACUAUGUAGGCUUGAUUGGUCUUGAACCCACAAAAAUCCACCUUCCUCUGUCUCUUCCUCUGCCUCUGUGCCUCUCUGCUUCUCUGCCUCUCUGCCUCUCUGCCUCUCUGCCUCUCUCUCUGCCUCUCUGCCUCUCUGCCUCUCUGCCUCUCUGCCUCUCUGCCUCUCUGCCUCUCUGCCUCUCUGCCUCUCUGCCUCUCUGCCUCUCUGCCUCUCUGCCUCUCUGCCUCUCUGCCUCUCUGCCUCUCUGCCUCUCAUCUGCCUCUGCCUCAUGACCAUGAUCACUGGGAAGCAAAAGGGUUUGUUUCUGUUUAUUUGUCUUGAGCACCGUCUAUCAUCAAGGGAAGUUGGGUUUGGAACUCAAGGCAGGAAUCUAGAGACAAAAACUAAAGAAGAGGCCCUAGAGGGAUGCUGCUUACUGGCUUGCUCCCUGGUUUGCUCAGUUUGUUUUCUUAAACAACUUGGGACCACGUACCCAGGAUUGGUACUGCCUCCCAUGAGCUGGACCCUCCUGUAUCAGCCAUCAAUCAAGAAAAUCAAGUUUGACCCCUGCCAAUCAGGUGGAGCCAUUUUCUCAAAUGACUCUUUAUGUCCACUUGAUGUAAAAUUAGCCAUCACUAUGUGUGACACCAUACCUGCCUAGAAAAUAGAUUUAUGAAACCUGUCACUAUAUAUAACGACUAUAUAUUAAUAAAAAGUUUAUGUCAGAAAACCAAUAGAGGGAGCAAAAAUAAUCAAAGACAUGAUAUGUGUGAAUAUCAUAAUGGAAGCAUUUACUUUAUAUAAUUAAUACAUAUUAGUAUAUUUUACCUUUGAAUGCAUGUACAUGUGUCUGUGUGUCUGUGUGUUCCUGUGUAUGAAGCAGAAGGAUUACUGUGCUUGCUGGCUGCCAUUCUGGCUCCAGGUUCAGGGAAAUGCUGUCUCUCAAAGGAAUCAGGCAGGCAACAGGGCAAGACUUCUGGCCUCCAUAUGUGCGUGACCUCCACUACACACACACACACACACACACACACACACACACACACACACACAUACACACACACACUGGUGUACUGACUAUCUCAGGCUGAAAUCCCUUGAGGAUAAGUGUGUAAAUUUUUUGAACAUGAAUAUAGAGGGUAGAAUUAAAUACCAUAUAGAUCCAUUUGGCAUUCUCCCACACGCAGCAACAGUUGAUUCUUUAGGAAGGGCCAUUCUUCACACACCAAGGCUAACACAGAGCCUUGAUGACCACAGACUGGUGACUGGGCUGCCCUGAACCUGUGUAAACACCCUGAAGUAGCCCUUAUCUCCCCCUAGGCUGACGGCCCCAUAUAUCUCCUAGUGACAGCCUGGAGUUUACUCCCCCAGUCAGAGACCCAUCUGUCUUGUCAUUCCUUCUCAAACAUAUUGCUCUUUGUCUAAAAUGUGUAGAGGCGCCAUGCUUUGGACUUCACUCUGGUGAAAAUCACCAUGAAUGUGUAUGAUACUUGUGGGGUUUGGUCCUGUUAAUGUGGCUUGUGUUAACUGGGGUCCCUAGACUCAGACAAGCCACCCACACAGUGACUAAGGGUAGGAUGUGUUGGAGAUUAUUUAUUUCUUGUCUUCUGUGUAUUUUACCAAUAUUUCUUCCUUUCUUCCCCCACCAACUCCUUCUUUCCUUCCUGAAAGGAUCUCGGGUAGCCCAGGCUACCUCAAACUCACUAUAUAGACGAAGAUGACCUUGAAUUCUUGAAUCUUCCUGUUUCUAUGUCCUAAGUUCUAGGAUUGCAAGCUUUUGCUACCACACCCAUUUUAUGCAGUGCUAGGAACUGAACUUAGCAAUUCAUUUAUGCUAGGACACAUUCUCCCAAUUGACCAAUCCCCAUAACCUUUAGAAUUAUUGUUAUUUAUUAUUUGAGAAUUCCAUACACACAAUUUAUUUUGGUCAAAUCCAUCCCCUAACCUCCUGUUUUACUUAGCAUUACUAUUGCUGUAAUGAAACAUCAUGAUCAAAAGCAACUUGAGAAGGAAAUCAUUUAUUCGGCUUAUAUAUAUUCCAAACCACAGAUUGUCCACUGAAGGAAGCCAAGGCAAGAGCUCAAACAGGGCAGGAACAUGGAGGCAGGAGCUGAUGUGGAGGCCAUAGAGUGGUGCUGCUUACUGGAUUGCUCAGCCUGCUUUCUUUCAGAACCUCGGACCACCAGGCCAUGGCUGUCCUACCCACAACUCGUUGGGCCUCCCCCAUCAAUCACUAAUUUAAAACAAACAAAAACAAACAAGUAAAAACACAAAAAACAAAAAACCCCACCCUAUUGACUUGCCUGCCUACAGCCCAAUCUUACAGAGGCAUUUUCUUAAUUGAGGUUCUUUCUUCUCAAAUGACUUUAGCUUGUGUCAAUUGACAUAAAACUAACCAGAACAUCUCCCUGCUUCAAUUCUCCCCUACAUCCCACAUCCUCAAGUUUAUAUUCUUUUUUUUUUUGAAAGAUAAGCCUCUGAGUCCAAUUAGUGUGGCUGAUAUAUGGGUAGGAGGCAUGCCCUGGAGCACAGUCAACCUUCCAUGGACCAACCCCCUAAAAAAGAACCCUAACUCUUUCUUUCCUACCAGCCGUCAACUCUCAGUGGCUCCUCAGCAAGGAAGUAGGAUUCUUAAGCACCUCUCGACUCAACACUGGAAUAGUCACGCCU
rnacentral:lncRNA from 1 species